GCAAACUUGGUCAUUUAGAGGAAGUAAAAGUCGUAACAAGGUUUUCGUAGGUGAACCUGCGGAAGGAUCAUUACUGAGGGAAACAAACGAGGGGCGCCAUCGAGCCUGAGGACAACACGCAUCUCGGUGCGUGACCCCUGGGCGUGCUGCCUGCCUAGAGUACCCGGAGCGUAGCCCCGGGAUUCAGGCACGGCGUAAGCCCCUCCAUCCACCCGUGUUUACCGUACCUCUGUUGCUUUGGCGGGCCGGCUUGAGCCUCUCUGCGAAGGGGGGAAGGCCGCCACGGCGUUCACUCGCCAGGGUCAGUGCCCGCCAGGGAAGUUACCUGAACCAGUGAGAAUAAUGAGGACUGUCUGAGUGGGAUUGAAAUAACUUAAAACUUUCAACAAUGGAUCUCUUGGUUCCGGCAUCGAUGAAGAACGCAGC
rnacentral:misc_RNA from 1 species